AAAAAGACAAACCCUAGGUUUUCGUGUCCAACUUUAACUGUCCGUCUUAUAAGAAAUUUUUUUAUAAUUCGUAUUUUCAUUGUUGUUAGAUGAUAAAACAUGAUUAAUAUUUUAUGCGUGACUUGUCUUUUUAAUUGUUUUUAUAUAUUUUUUUUAAAUAAGACGGACGGUCAAACGUUAGACACGGAAAUCAGGAGUUUGUCUUUGU
rnacentral:pre_miRNA from 1 species